GGUGGAGUCUGGCUGCACCUCUUAGACCUCAUUUAAGGUUGACUGCCACUAGGGAAGGAUCUUUUUCUGGAUAUCUCUUCUUAGUGGUAUUUUCCCCUGUGAGUCUAACUCUUUGAAGAUAGGUGGCCAGUUAUUUUUCUUUCUUUUAUAAUAUCUUUCUAUUAUGUUAGUUGCUCUGUCAUUAUGCCUCCUGAAUCACCUUUCCAUAUUGUUAAUCUUUUUGAUUGUUACAAUAUCAUAAAAUAAAAGCAUCAGAAUUGACUGAAUCAAAGAGAAGUUGUUAAGAUUCUCUUAUGCUAUAAUAUUUUUGAUUAAAUUCUUAACCUGCUGCUAUAAACUGAUUACAUUUGAGCUCUGAAUGUUGAGUCUCUUCAGUGUCUCAAGUUCUCAUCUAUUUGUGACAACACAAAUCCAAUAUGCCAUAAACAUGUUGAAAUGUUCUGGCCUUUACAGUUUUACCAGCCUGAGAUCUUUUUGGUCAGCAGAAUGAGAGACUUGAAGUGAAACUGAAUAAACUCCGCUAGCUGUAAUUGGCUUCA
rnacentral:lncRNA from 1 species